UACAGAGGUCUCGAGCGUUGUUCGGAUUCAUUGGGCGUAAAGGGCGCGUAGGCGGCGGGGUAAGUCUGGUGUGAAAUCUCGGAGCUCAACUCCGAAACUGCACUGGAUACUGCUCUGCUAGAGGGCUGGAGAGGAGAUCGGAAUUCACGGUGUAGCAGUGAAAUGCGUAGAUAUCGUGAGGAAGACCAGUGGCGAAGGCGGAUCUCUGGACAGCUCCUGGACGCUGAGGCGCGAAGGCUAGGGGAGCAAACGGGG
rnacentral:rRNA from 1 species